CGAAUAUUUAUAAAAUACACAAAAUUCAAUAUUGGACGCCAAUCACUACCCUUAUACAUAUGUUUCAUGUCAUCAUACCUAAAUGAAUGAACCAAAACCCAAGCACGGAAAGGUUCUUUUUGCAACCGCAGGUUAUGAUCACACGAUUCGAUUUUGGAACAUUGAUGAAGCUAAUUGCUACCAUAUAUUACAGCACCCAGAUUCGCAAGUGAAUGACCUAGAUUUUUCAAGUGAUAGAAAAUAUUUAGCAGCUGCAGGUUACAGACAUAUAAGAAUAUAUGAUAAUGAAAGCACUAACACCAAUCCAGUUGUUAAUUUUGAAGGACAUUCAAAAAAUAUUUUCAAAAUAGGGUUUAACCUCAAUAAUAAUUGGUUAUAUUCGAUAGGCGAAGAAGGAAGCCUGUACAUUAUCGAUUAUAGAGUCAAUACAAAAAUUCAAAGAUCAAAGCAAAUUCCAAAUGCACAGCUAAACUGUGGAUUCUUACAUCCAAAUCAGAUAUACCUAUUAAGCGGUUCUAAAGAGGGAAAACUCUAUAUUUGGGAUUUACGAGCUGAUGAACUACAUUCAUUUAUCCCUGAGCCUAUUUUACCAAUCCUUAGUAUUUCAAUUGAUAAUAUAGGAACUAAUAUAGCUGUAUCUAAUGAUCAAGGAUUAUGUUCGGUAUGGCCUAUAGAUAAAACCAUUCUAACCCAAUCUGAGGUGGAUCGCACUUUAACGGCUAUCGUAAAACAAACUGCCACUACAAUUAAGCAAGAAGCAGACAAAAUGGAUGCAAUUACUAAGAAAUUUAUUGACACAUCGCAGAAGAACGGUCUCGUUAACGAUGCUGAUUCCUCACCUAAAUUAGCCUUCGUUUACCCACCCGUUUAUAUGCCCUUGCACAAGUCUACUCAAUUCAAAGCUCACAAUAAACGAUACAUAUUGAAAACGGAGCUUAGUCCAGAUUCUCAAUUACUGGCCACUUGUUCAGACGAGGGAGAUUCCGUAGUUUGGAACGUCAAGGAAAACAAAAUAUUGCAGAAAUUUAGUAACCCUAGCCGCAAAUGGGUAUGGGACGCUGCUUUUACCAAAGAUAGCCAAUACCUUAUGACGGCCCCUGGAUUGUAAAAGCUAGUGACUCCCCUGCAAUAUAUAUGUUACAGACAAAUGCGCAUAAUCAGGAAAAACGUGUAAUAUCUUAUAGCAUUCCUGAAAUGUAUAUGAAUAUGCGUCUUCAGAUUGUAAAGCUCGUUUGUGGGAAAUAAAGACAGGAAAUUUGAAGCGGGAAUUUUCCGGUCAUCAAAAAGCGAUCAUAUGUUUAGCUAUGAAGGAUUAAAAGAAAUAUUUUGAUAUGCAAUAAAUUUAAAAAAAUACAGGGGCGCCUGCUAAUCCAUUGUGUCAAAAAAGACUAAAAAUUUAUUUCUAGAGGGGGAAUUAAAUUUACCUUCCUUGCGCCCCUGUAUAUAUAAUGUGAUAUCUAUUUUUGUCGACUUAUUUUAUGUACUAAUAUAUGUGUAAUCGGUUUUUAAUAUAAACAUAUAACUUAUGUAUGUAUAUGUCUAAACAUUGAUAUUUGAUGUGUAGAAUUGAACAUAGAUAUAAUUAAU